rnacentral:rRNA from 1 species
GACGAACGCUGGCGGCGUGCUUAACACAUGCAAGUCGAACGGACAGGCCCUGCUUUUGUGGGGUGCUCGAUUGGCGAACGGGUGAGUAACACGUGAGUAUCCUGCACUUGACUUUGGGAUAACUUCAGGAAACUGGGGCUAAUACCGGAUAGGAUCUCCUGCUGCAUGUGGGUGGUUGGAAAGUUUCGGCGGUUGGGGCUGGACUCGCGGCUUAUCAGCUGGUUGGUGGGGUAGUGGCUUACCAAGGCUUUGACGGAUAGCCGGCCUGAGAGGGUGACCGGCGUCAUUGGGCCUGAGAGACGGCGCAGACUCCUACGGGCGGCAGCAGGCGAGAAUAUUGCACAAUGGGCGGAAGCGUGAUGCAGCAGCGCCGCGUGCGGGAUGCCGGCCUUCGGGUUAUAAACCGAUUUGGACUGUGACGAAGCGUGAGUGACGGUAAUGGGUAAAGAAGCACCGGCUAACUACGUG